rnacentral:lncRNA from 1 species
AAGCAAUUCUCCUGGCUCAGCCUCCCAAGUAGCUGGGAUUACAGUGUACCACACCAAGGAACUCCCACACUCUGAAUGAACAGCCCAGUGAUCAGGAGCUUUGAAUCAAUUCUUGGCACCUAACAGUUUGUGAAGAGUCUGCUAAACUCCCUCUAUCAGAAAUCCCAGAGGACUGAGAACAGGUCAUCCUUGGAGCUGUAUCUGAAUGGAGUCAGGAUCUGGAAGCCCAAGUCUCCUUGUCAAUGUCUGCUUGGUUCCCAAGGACACCUGUAAAUGGAAGAGGGGCAUAGUACACAGAAGACAUUGCUGGCAAGUGUGGUCUCUUUACGAUCAGGUGAGUCAUCUGCUGAAAUCUUUAUAAUAGACUUCUACCUUGAUGGAAUGGGUUGGACUAACGAGGAACCACCAUUACUCCAAGGCCCAGAGCAGAGCUGGGCCAUCAACUGUCUCCACACUUCCUGUCUUCUAGGUGCCACCCUGAUCCCUCAUUGCCUUUCAGCUGCAUGUCUAAAUCCCCACCCCACCCCUCAUCUAGUUGGCUUUGAUUCCAAGGACCUAGGACUGGAGUAGGGCUUUCACAAAUAAGACAGCAGGAAUGUAAUGCAACCUAAUGAGCAGACUAAGAAAGCAUCUAUACAGAAGAACAGACAUACAAAUACCAAGGCAGAUAAGAGUGACAAAAGACAAAAAAAAAAAAAAAAAAAA